GACGAACGCUGGCGGCGUGCUUAACACAUGCAAGUCGAACGGAAAGGCCCUGCUUUUGUGGGGUGCUCGAGUGGCGAACGGGUGAGUAACACGUGAGUAACCUGCCCUUGACUUUGGGAUAACUUCAGGAAACUGGGGCUAAUACCGGAUAGGAGCUCCUGCUGCAUGGUGGGGGUUGGAAAGUUUCGGCGGUUGGGGAUGGACUCGCGGCUUAUCAGCUUGUUGGUGGGGUAGUGGCUUACCAAGGCUUCGGCGGGUAGCCGGCCUGAGAGGGUGACCGGCCACAUUGGGACUGAGAUACGGCCCAGACUCCUACGGGAGGCAGCAGUGGGGAAUAUUGCACAAUGGGCGGAAGCCUGAUGCAGCAACGCCGCGUGCGGGAUGACGGCCUUCGGGUUGUAAACCGCUUUCGCCUGUGACGAAGCGUGAGUGACGGGAAUGGGUAAAGAAGCACCGGCUAACUACGU
rnacentral:rRNA from 1 species